rnacentral:rRNA from 2 species
CACACGACUCUCGGCAACGGAUAUCUCGGCUCUCGCAUCGAUGAAGAACGUAGCGAAAUGCGAUACCUGGUGUGAAUUGCAGAAUCCCGCGAACCAUCGAGUCUUUGAACGCAAGUUGCGCCCGAAGCCACCCGGCCGAGGGCACGCCUGCCUGGGCGUCACGC